UUUGAUUGUCAUUCAAAAGUGAAAACUUUUGAAGCUGAAAAGCUUUCCUUCUCAUCAUCAUCAUCAUCAUUUGUAUCAAUCAAAUGAAACAAAUUUUGUUUGAUACAACUCAUUUGGACUUUGAUUUUUUUUUAGAAAGAUGAUCCUAUUAGCCAACAACACACAUAGAUAGAGAGAGAUCAUGAUUCGAUCAAUGAUUAUCGUAGAAAAAUUCAUUCGAAUGCGAAUAUUCAAUUGAUCAAAGCUGUCCUGCUUUUGUACUCCACCAGGUGCCUGAAAAAAAUAAAACAAAAUCAGGCAUCUUCUGGGGAGCAAAAAAUAAGGCAGUCAUUUAACAUCGAUCCACCAUCAAAUCUACUAUCGUCCAUUCAGUAAUGGCUAUAUACUGACAGUUUCAUUGCGCCUGUGUAUUUAUUUGGUUGGCAAGAAUCUGGUUUCAUUUUGGGCGCCAAUCAUUUUCCCAAAAGAAUCAUAAUAACCGAAAUAAAAGCAGUUUUACAAACCAAAAAAAAAAAAAA